GGAAACCCAGUUUUUUUUAAAGCAGAUUGUGCAACACUAAUUGAACUCCUUCAAGGCAACCAGACACCAAGUACACCAGCCUAGAACGCAUGUUACGAAGGAGGCUUGAAUUGUCAUCUGAAAUGGUAAUUCUGUAAGAUGGGAACAGCAGGAUCCAUCAAGAGAUGACCCAGUCCAGCCCUCUGCCUAAAGAGUGUGGGGCCCUGAGUUAUCCUACAGACAUGAGCAUCACAGCAUUUCCUUUUCCUUGUGCCCUUCAUCUAGGAUAUGCUCCUUGGAAUGCAACAAAACUAAAUGUAGAUAUGGAAGUUUAUGAAGAAUUAAUG